AGUCAAUAGAUACCCCGGUAGUCCACGCCGUAAACGAUGAGUACUAGGUGUAGGAGGUAUCGACUCCUUCUGUGCCGCAGUUAAACACAAUAAGUACUCCGCCUGGGAAGUACGGUCGCAAGAUUAAAACUCAAAGGAAUUGACGGGGGCCCGCACAAGCAGCGGAGCAUGUGGUUUAAUUCGAAGCAACGCGAAGAACCUUGCCUAGACUUGACAUCUCCUGAAUAGCGCAGAGAUGCGUGAAGCCCUUCGGGGCAGGAAGACAGGUGGUGCAUGGUUGUCGUCAGCUCGUGUCGUGAGAUGUCGGGUUAAGUCCCGCAACGAGCGCAACCCCUAUUAUUAGUUGCUACCAUUAAGUUGAGCACUCUAAUGAGACUGCCCGGGGUUAACCGGGAGGAAGGCGGGGAUGACGUCAAAUCAUCAUGCCCCUUAUGUCUAGGGCUACACACGUGCUACAAUGGUGAGAACAACGAGAUGCAAUACCGCGAGGUGGAGCAAAACUUGAAAACUCAUCUCAGUUCGGAUUGUA
rnacentral:rRNA from 1 species